rnacentral:rRNA from 1 species
GACAGAGGUGCCGAGCGUUAGGCGGAAUCACUGGGCUUAAAGCGUGUGUAGGCGGACUUCUAAGUACCUUGUGAAAUCCCACGGCUCAACCGUGGAACUGCUUGGUAUACUGGUUGUCUUGAGCCACUUAGGGGCAGUCGGAACAGACGGUGGAGCGGUGAAAUGCGUAGAUAUCGUCUGGAACGCCAGAGGUGAAAACAGACUGCUGGGAGGGUGCUGACGCUGAGACACGAAAGCCAGGGGAGCAAACGGG